GACGAACGCUGGCGGCGUGCUUAACACAUGCAAGUCGAACGGAAAGGCCCUGCUUUUGUGGGGUGCUCGAGUGGCGAACGGGUGCGUAACACGUGGGUAACCUGCCCUUGACUUUGGGGUAACUUCAGGAAACUGGGGCUAAUACCGGAUAGGAGCUCAUGCUGCAUGUUGGGGGUUGGAAAGUUUCGGCGGUUGGGGAUGGACUCGCGGCUUAUCAGCUUGUUGGUGGGGUAGUGGGUUACCAAGGCUUUGACGGGUAGCCGGCCUGAGAGGGUGACCGGCCACAUUGGGACUGAGAUACGGCCCAGACUCCUACGGGAGGCAGCAGUGGGGAAUAUUGCACGAUGGGCGGAAGCCUGAUGCAGCAACGCCGCGUGCGGGAUGACGGCCGUAGGGUUGUAAACCGCUUUCGCCUGUGACGAAGCGUGAGUGACGGUAAUGGAUAAAGAAGCACCGGCUAACUACGUG
rnacentral:rRNA from 1 species